rnacentral:rRNA from 1 species
UACGUAGGGGGCAAGCGUUGUCCGGAUUUAUUGGGCGUAAAGAGCGUGUAGGCGGCCAGGUAGGUCUGCUGUGAAAACUCGAGGCUUAACCUCGAGAUGUCGGCGGAAACCAUCUGGCUAGAGUCCGGAAGAGGAGAAUGGAAUUCCCGGUGUAGCGGUGAAAUGCGCAGAUAUCGGGAGGAACACCAAUGGCGAAGGCAGCUCGCUGGGACGUGACUGACGCUGAGACGCGAAAGCGUGGGGAGCAAACAGG